UACUCCCGCCGGCGACCGGCGCACGGGUGAGUAACACGUAUGAAACCUGCCCGUAGCAGGGGGAUAAGCGGAAGAAAUUCCGUCUACUACCGCGUGACAACCCGAGGAGGCAUCUCCUCGGGUUUAAAGGAAGCGAUUCCGGCUACGGAUGGUCAUGCGUCGCAUUAGCUAGUUGGCGGGGUAACGGCCCACCGAGGCGACGAUGCGUAGGGGUUCUGAGAGGAAGGUCCCCCACACUGGUACUGAGACACGGACCAGACUCCUACGGAAGGCAGCAG
rnacentral:rRNA from 1 species